UUGGUGCCGCUUGUCUCUAUUCCUUCUAUCUCUCGUCUGCCUCGCCAAGUCUAGUGCAGAAGUGUUCUCUUAUCUCCGUUUCUUCCAUCAAUAACCUCUCUUGAAAAUCACAAUGCCAGUUGAUUCCCUCGUAGCCUCUUUUUUCCCUUCUGAGUCAAUUCCUAAAGAGCCCGUCUCAUCAGGCCAGUCGGCACAAUCACAGUAAGAGUCGACUCUUUGAUACAAUUCCAAUUUUCUGGGAUGUUGGAUGCAUAAUCUGCCACAACCAUCGUUUCUUGCAAAGCUAGUCAGCCACCAUAAGCACCUUGCCUCUAGUCCUCUCGCCACUAUCCUUUGCGGCCUCUGCUCUUCUCUUAUUCUUUAGUCCUUUCAAUCCUUUGUCUUCAAGUUUCGUCUAACUUUUCUCCUACUAAAUUGCUUGGUAUAUCAUUG
rnacentral:misc_RNA from 1 species